GCAAGCGCCUCCUGAAGCUUCGGGCACGAUGUUGGGAAACCUCAUCAGUGAAUGUGGUCAAAUUCAAGGAAACCUAAGUCUAGUAAUUUAGAUAAGGUAAUCUUGAGCCAAGCUCUGAAACCCCGUUAGAGAAGGUGCAGAGACUGGUUGUAGGUUUAAUCGGGGGUCCAUUGUCGUGUUCAUACCUACAACGUAACGGCCACCACCUAAGGACUUGUGUCUAAGGUGAAGGAAUAGUCCAGAGAGUGAGGAAACUCACAC
rnacentral:ncRNA from 1 species